UACGAAGGGUGCAAACGUUGCUCGGAAUCAUUGGGCGUAAAGCGCACGUAGGCGGCUUGCCAAGUCGGACGUGAAAUCCCUCAGCUCAACUGAGGACGUGCAUCCGAAACUGGCGAGCUUGAGUACUGAAGAGGAUCGCGGAGUUCCCGGUGUAGAGGUGAAAUUCGUAGAUAUCGGGAGGAACACCAGUGGCGAAGGCGGCGAUCUGGGCAGAUACUGACGCUGAGGUGCGAAAGCGUGGGGAGCAAACAGG
rnacentral:rRNA from 1 species